CCCAGGGAAGCGUUUUGUCCACGUCAGCAAAGCGCGCCCUGAAGGACACGAUUUCUGUUGACAUGGACAAAAUGCUUCCCUGGGA
rfam:Gossypium hirsutum cultivar TM-1 chromosome 10, whole genome shotgun sequence